GUGGAGAUUGAACUUGACAAAGGUAAAUUUGAGUUUCCCUACAUUAUUUUGCUUCACUUUUUAAUGCUUACUAAUUAGAGAACUAGUGUUUAAGAAGAUGGUUAAAACUGUAUGGUUGUGGUUCUUGGUUAAGCCAUUGCCCAUUGGGUUCAUGGUUCUUUUAUGCUUAUAUUUAUUAACGUCAUUUUCUAAGAACAAUAAAGCGGUAAUUAUUUUAAUGAUCUUCAAGGAUUGUUGCUGUAUUGUUCACGUCCUUGUUUUAAACAUUUAACUAUUUUUUUGGAGAAGUUUAGUCUCUUUAUAUUCUGUCUUUCCUGUUGAAAUCUGGCAGAACAAAUAAAAC
rnacentral:misc_RNA from 1 species